rnacentral:lncRNA from 1 species
AGGAGGGGCCCAGGCCUGGCCUCAGCUUUCCUUAGAUGUUAAGUCUCCUUUCUGGCUCCAACCCAGAGGGGUCAGCCAAGGUCACUCCAGCAGUCUGACACCACUCCCCCCACCCCCUACUCCAGCUCUGAUCCAGGCUUUUUCAUUCACAGAACUCAGACUUUCCAGGCUGCAAAUCAGGAUGACAGAGGCAAGGUCUAGUUGCUAUUAA